rnacentral:rRNA from 1 species
GUGGGGAAUCUUGCGCAAUGGGCGAAAGCCUGACGCAGCCAUGCCGCGUGAAUGAUGAAGGUCUUAGGAUUGUAAAAUUCUUUCACCGGGGACGAUAAUGACGGUACCCGGAGAAGAAGCUCCGGCUAACUUCGUGCCAGCAGCCGCGGUAAUACGAAGGGGGCUAGCGUUGCUCGGAAUUACUGGGCGUAAAGGGCGCGUAGGCGGACAGCUUAGUCAGAGGUGAAAGCCCAGGGCUCAACCUUGGAAUUGCCUUUGAUACUGGCUGUCUUGAGUUUGGGAGAGGUGAGUGGAACUCCGAGUGUAGAGGUGAAAUUCGUAGAUAUUCGGAAGAACACCAGUGGCGAAGGCGACUCACUGGCCCAAUACUGACGCUGAGGCACGAAAGCGUGGGGAGCAAACAGGAUUAGAAACCCCAGUAGUCC